CGAGGCGCAUCUCAAAAGGAAAUCAAUGCCCCCAAUCCAGUAGUUGGCAGACGUGAGCAGAUCGCGCGAAGUGUUUUAUACCAGAAGAACAGGAAGCACUACGUCAUCAAGGAGCGCGUAUAUAAACCACGAGGCGCACGCCUGUUAGGUCUUUCUGUUCUGAAGUGGCGACUCGAUUAGUGUGUGUUCAGAGAAGCUUCGAAAAAAAAAUAUACGACUGAUCAUGGUAAGACGCAAUGGACCACUAUUUCACAAUAAUAAUUUUCUUCCAUACCGUGUUGUGAUGAAAUCUAAACUGAAUAUAGCUGGAAUUACCGUCAGAUGGUUCAGUGGUGAUGAUCGGUUUUCUGAGCACAUUAGUGUGGAAGACAACGUUACUUCCCACAUGUGUGAUCUGUUCAUUAACAAUCUGUGUGUCUUUUGCAGAUAUUCUAUGAAGAUUUAAAACAUUUUUUGAUUUUAAACGAAGGGGAUUGAGACGACGACUGCUGCUUUCAAUUAUUAUUACUUUUUUAGUUCUUUUGUGUGUAAUGAAUUUCUUUUUAUUGUAAUUAAGAAAAACAUCAUAACCCAAUAAAAGUUCUUUAUUCACA